UUCCUCUCAGGUCACACCUGGAGAGUUUCCAAUACUCUACCAGUCUCGACUAUGGGAGGGCGAGUCAAGCAGAGGCCUACCCAUUCCAUUCCUAGUUUGGGCAGUGACUCGUGAAUGGAAGGCAAUAUGCUACAAGU